rnacentral:misc_RNA from 1 species
GUGAAUCAUCGAAUCUUUGAACGCAAAUUGCACUAUCUGGUAUUCCGGCGAGUAUGCCUGUUUGAGGAUCAGUUUAAAUUCAAACCGGUAUGGUUGCUGUAUUUCGUGGUGAUGCACGGGUUUUGGGUCGUAUUGCCUUCUGUUAUGUUACCUACAAUUUUGCAUGAUUUUUUUCGAACGUUUUUAAAUGAUUUUACGUACGUUUGAGAUAUCGAAUUGUAGGUGUGUUCAUCGUUUUGAUUUGUGCCUAUACUUUUUAUUGU